rnacentral:rRNA from 1 species
UACGGAGGGUGCUAGCGUUGCUCGGAAUCACUGGGCGUAAAGGGUGCGUAGGCGGCCGUGCAAGUCUGGCGUGAAAGCCCCGGGCUCAGCCCGGGAAGUGCGCUCGAAACUGCGCGGCUCGAGUGCCGGAGGGGAGAGUGGAAUUCCUGGUGUAGCGGUGAAAUGCGUAGAUAUCAGGAAGAACACCAAUGGCGAAGGCAGCUCUCUGGGACGGUACUGACGCUGAGACGCGAAAGCGUGGGGAGCGAACAGG